UGCAGAGGACACAGACUAGCAACCAACCAGAUGCAGGGGACACAGCCUAGCAACCAACCAGAUGCAGGGGACACAGCCUAGCAACCAACCAGAUGCAGGGGACACAGACUAGCACCACCAGAUGCAGGGAGCGAGAAGGAGCUGUCGACAGGGCCGCCAUGUUUAGCUGAGUGAGUGGACAAUGUCAUUGACGCAAAGAGAUACGGCCAAAGGAAAAACAGCACGAGUGGAUAAAAUGUGAACACCCAGGACUCCCUGAUUCAAGUCUAGGCCAGUUCCCUGGAGAUCAAAUAUCUCACCUCGCCCAUGGCAGUUACAGAUGUGGAGAAAAUAAUCCUAUUAUAUUAA